GUCGUAGCUAAGGUAAACACGCGUUACGCCAUCGUGUUCUUUGGGUCGUAUAAAAGGCGUUCUGUCGAAAGCAAGAAUUUCACUUUAUGGAGAGACCGGCUCAGUUUCCGCCGUCAAGGCUUAAUAGGGAUAUGUUCGACCGAGGGAUAGAAGAGAUUGAGGCGGAAGCUGAUGCCCGGGCCAGAGAAGAAGACAUGAUGAGAAGGGAUGACAGAACGAAUGCAGGAAGAACUUGAUUCGUUGGAUUGAUAAUUGUUUCAUAAACAAUCUAACUUAUUUCCCAGAGGCAUCAUGAGUUUUCGCCGUCAGGGUUAGCCCUAGAGAAAAUUGAGGCGGAAGCUGAUGUCCGGGCCAAAGGAAAGAAGACGGGGAGGUAGAAAGGACGAAUUCAGGAAGAAUGGGAGACGCCGCGAUGCCGAAAAGAGGUAAAUAAUUGCAGAGAUACUAGAUGGGUGAUUUUGCCAGAAUAAUACAAGGUCUUCCGCGAUGGCGAGAGCAAAUAAAAAAUCUUUUCAAUAUAAGACGGGAUAUUUGGUGUGGGCCAAAUUAAAGG